rnacentral:rRNA from 4 species
ACUUUCAACAACGGAUCUCUUGGCUCUCGCAUCGAUGAAGAACGCAGCGAAAUGCGAUACGUAAUGUGAAUUGCAGAAUUCAGUGAAUCAUCGAAUCUUUGAACGCACCUUGCGCCCCUUGGCAUUCCGAGGGGCACACCCGUUUGAGUGUCGUGAAAU